rnacentral:misc_RNA from 1 species
AACCAUUCUCACCUGCGGCUAGACCUGCGGAAGGAUCAUUAAAAAGAGUGUGUACCCCUCUGUAAAAUGAGUGGGUUACCUCCCGUCCUUUGUUGACCUCUUAGGAGGUUUUUUGAACUUUUCUGCUUCGGUGGGGUUAAACCUACCGGAACACCCUCAAAUUCUGAUCAUUUAAAAAUUGUUCAGUCCGAGGAUUUUUGUUAAUAAAACAAAAAACUUUUAACAACGGAUCUCAGAUCG